rnacentral:lncRNA from 1 species
GUUCAUAUUUUCAGACUGCGUGUGCACCUUUGUUAUCUUUUUAAUAUUCUUUUGGUGGCUGAGAAGUUAACUUGUCACCUCAGAGUUCAAAGGAAGCGGUAGUUCAAGUUAACUUCUCCAGAGUGAUGUAUAGCCCAGCCGCCCAGUUGAGAGAGGUGACUUUUCUGGAGGAAAAUGCUGCAUAUGAGAAGGCUAUCUCGAAGUGUGACAGUAUCAAAUUAACAUAG